GGAGAACACAGACAGACUCUUCUUGGAAAUUAACAGUGGGAGAAUGAGAGGGAACAGACAUAGGCUGCAGCACAGCAAGGGAAAUUCCAACCAGACAUCCAUAAGGACAGCUUCUCCUCUUGGGGGCAGUCAGAUGUGACUAGAAGUGCCCAGAGAGGCUGUGAAAUCUCUGUCCUUGGAGAUACCUGGAUUGGGCCCUGAGCAAACCUGAUCUAAGCUGGCCCUGUUUUCUGUGGGGCAUUGCACCAGGCAACUUCUAAAAGUCCCUUCCUGCCUAAAAUGCUCUGGGACGUAAAGAACCUCUGGUUUGGGAGAAGCUCGUCAUGCAGGAAUAGCACAGAUGGAUGGUAAAUAACAGGUGGGACCAGGGAACAUCUCCCAAGACAUUGUCCUGCCAGAGAUCCAUGAAGACAGAGGAAUGACACAAAUGAAGACAAAUUCCUCCAGUUGGAAAAUCCAGCAGAAUUUGUGCCCUUGAUUUGACUGGAAGAUGACACCAACUUUCUAGAAAAUACCCAUCUACAUCUCAGCCUUCUGCCAGUCUUGAAAAUCACCCUGAUCAUCCUGACAUGACCAUAUCUGGGCCUAAAAAAUGAUCCUGAAAUGCUGAACUGGAUUGAGAACUGCAGUGAGUGGCACAUGCCCUUUCAAGAAGUAAAAGACCAGAGAAGAAAAAACAGAAGAUCCCAUUAUCCACAGACACAAAUGAAGCUGGUUCCUUGGCAGGUCAUCCAGCAGAGGAAGAAUUUACACAUAUCUGGGUCACUGGGGAAGCCAAUGUAAGCCUGAGUGAAACUCCUGUGUUUGGCAGUAAAUUCAGGAUUUGAGUCCCUAUAGCCAGUGACAAGAUCCCAAGAAGGAAAAAGAAAAAUCUAUAUUUUGAAAUAAAGCAAGAAGCUCUCCUGCCUCUUAACACUGGUCUGAAACAGGAGGAUGUUGUGGUGUGGCAGUGCCAACUCCACUGAGAGUACAGAAGUUUACCUGGAAUGGAGCAAAGUUGUGAGAGUGGAUUUGGAUUCUGGGCUGGAAAAGAUGUGGGCUGUGGUCAUGAUAUCCUGGAUAAUUGUCUGUG